AUUGAACGCUGGCGGCAUGCCUAACACAUGCAAGUCGAACGGCAGCACAGCAGUAGCAAUACUGUGGGUGGCGAGUGGCGGACGGGUGAGGAAUACGUCGGAAUCUGCCCAGUCGUGGGGGAUAACUAGCCGAAAGGUUAGCUAAUACCGCAUACGACCGAGAGGUGAAAGGCGGGGGACCGCAAGGCCUCGCGCGAUUGGAUGAGCCGACGUCGGAUUAGCUAGUUGGCGGGGUAAAGGCCACCAAGGCGACGAUCCGUAGCUGGUCUGAGAGGAUGAUCAGCCACACUGGAACUGAGACACGGUCCAGACUCCUACGGGAGGCAGCAGUAGGGAAUAUUGCGCAAUGGGCGAAAGCCUGACGCAGCGACGCCGCGUGAGUGAUGAAGGCCUUAGGGUCGUAAAGCUCUGUUGAAUGGGAAGAAAAAAUGACGGUACCAUUCGAGAAAGGACCGG
rnacentral:rRNA from 1 species